UAGCGUUCUGUAUGUGUUAGUGGUGUGUGUGUGUGUGUGUGUGUGUGUGUGUGUGUGUGUGUGUGUAUGGGUGUGAAUGUGUAUUAUAUUGCAUACGAGUGUAUGAGAGAUUGUUUUGGCCAUGUGUGUGUUUGGGUGCAUUUGCAUAUAGAAAUAAUAAUAAUAAUAAUAAUAAUAAUAACUCCUUAUAUUUAUAUAGUACUUUUCUAGACACUCAAAGUGAUUUACAUUGUAUGGUGUGUGUGUGUGUGUGUGUGUGUGUGUGUGUGUGUGUGUGUGUGUGUGUGUGGAGGAGUAGCAUCCACCUGGAUGAUGUGACGGAAGUGUAGUGCGCCAGAACGCCCACCACACACCAGCUAUUAGUGGAGAGGAGAGAGUGAUGUAGCCAGUUCAGGGAUGGAGAUUAUUAAGGGGCCAUGAUAGCUAAGGGCCAAUGGGGGAAUUUCACCAGGACACCAGGGUUAUACCCCUACUCCUUUAUGAGCUGUGUGGUGGGAUUUUUACUAACCACAGAGAGUCAGGACCUCUGUUUAACGUCUCACCCAAAAGACCGUACAACGAAAGAUGUGUAUUUGUGUGUUUGUUUUGUUUGUGUAUGUGAGUGGGCAUGUGUGUAUGUCUAUGCACGCAUGUGUAUGUUAGUUUUAUGUGUGAGUGAGUGUGUGUUUAUAUGUGUCUGUUUGUGUGUGUGUGUGUGUGUGUGUUUGGUUGCACACGUGUAUGUGCAUUUGUGUGGGUGUGCAUUGUAUCUCUGCAUGUGAGUGUAUGAGAGGUUUUUUUGUUCAAGUGCAUUUUUGUGUAUAUGUUCUGUGUGUGUGUGUGUGUUUGGGUGCAUAUAUGUGUGUAUGUAUGCAUGUGCAUUUGUGUUGUGUGUGUUUGUGUAUAUGAGUGUGCAUGUGUGUGUGAGCGAGUGUGUGUGUGUAUAUUUGUGUGUGUGUAUGUGUAUAUAUGUGUGUAGAUUUUCUGUGUGUGUUUACGUGUGUAUAUUUGUGUGUGUAUAUAUGUGUGUGUAUCUUUUCUCUGUGUGUGUAGAUUUUGUGUGUGUAUAUGUGUGUAGACUUUCUGUGUGUAUGUGUGUAGAUUUUUUGUGUGUGUGUAAGUGUGUUUGUGUGAGUGUGUGUUUAUGUGUGUGAGUGUGUAUUUAUAUGUGUGUGUUUGUAAGUGUGUGUUUAUAUCUGUGUGUGUGUGUGUGUGUGUGUAAGUGGGUUUUUAUAUGUGUGUGCGCUUGUGUGUCCGUGCGUGUGAGUGUGUGUGUGUGAGAGUAAGGGUGUGUUAUGUGUGUGUGUUUGUAAUUGUGUGUUAAUAUGUGUGUGUUUGUGUGUGUUUAUGUGUGUGUAUGUGUGUGUGAGUGUAAUUGUGUGUUCAUAUAUGUGUGUGUAAGUGUGUGUGCGUGCGUGUGUGUAUGCGUGUGCGUGUGUGUAUGCAUGUGCGUGUGCGUGUGUGCGCGCGUGUGUGUGUGCAUAUGUGUGCGUGUGUGUGUGUGUGUGUGUGUGUGUGUGUGUGUGUGCACGUGUGUGCGUGUGUGUGUGUGUGUGUGUGUGUGUGCGUAUGUGUGUGUCUUCUGAGGGCGUGGGUACGCUGUACGCGGGUGGUUAAGCUGUUAGCCUCAGAUGAAUGCAGGGGGAGCUCAGUCUCCUCUUUGAAGUGUGACAGGAGGAGGGGGAUGUUACCACGCCCACCAGGAGGGGCCUGCAGAGAGGGAGAAACUUUCGCCCUGUUUUUGUGAGGAACACUAGAGGUCCAGCUUGAGUCUCAGAUGCUCCGUUUUAAUUCUUACACUAAUUAUUCACCGGUCCUACAGCAAUGCCAGGGCUUCCUGCUUCCUGCUCCGCUUUACACUGUGAUGCAGUGCGCAGGCUGGAAAGAGUAACAGCAACACACACACACACACACACACACACACACACACACACACACUUAUGUACUCACGAUGCCACUACACACCAUUGCUUAGGAGUUUUUUAAAGUAUGAAUGAAAUCAUGUCUGUACAGUUUCUGUUGUUUAUGCUUACAUUUGUGUCAGUGAGGGCUGAAUGGGGGAACUCCCUUUUCACGCAGACCUCCCAGUGUGUGUUUCUCUCCCUGUCCACACACACACACACACUCUCCGAGGCAUGCUAGGUCGUGUCCGGGACCCACCUCAAAGGGAAACGGAGGCCCAGGUGUGCAGCAGGGGUUGGGGCUGGGACGGGUACAGACAGGCCUCGUCCCAAUCCACUGACAAGCGAAGACACUGCCUUGUUCUUCCUCGACAGACUGAGCGGAAGGCUCGGUUAAAAGAUAUCUGUGUUCAUAUCUUAUCCUUAACCCUGCCCCUGGAGCCGGUGAAUCCUUUUGGUCAAGACCAAGAUUUGCUCAGCUGUUUCAUUGGGCCAGUGUUUGAAUCAGCUGAAGGGAUGACGGUCCAGCGGUGCACAAAUCAGCGUGGAACCAUGGCGAGUGACGGGGUCACAAAUAGGAUGGGAGCCGCUAAACCGAUAAGACUGCUGCUGCGGAGUGGAAACGUUCAGCGUUUUGCUUCUGUUUGUUCUCUCUCUCUCUCUCUCUCUCUCUCUCUCUCUCUCUCUCUCUCUCUCUCUCUCUCUCUUUCUCUCUCUCUCUGUUCUGUUCACUAGGUUGCUGCAGGCUUUUACAUAAACCAGUUUGGAGCCUCAGUUCUCACCUCAGCACAGAUGCUGUGGAGCUGAGGAAAACGUGUUAAAUAUUUCAUUUUGCUUUUUCCUCGCACUGUCUACUUGUGACGAAUUAGGGCUGUAAUAUGGCAUUGUUUUUUUUUCUUCUUCACUUUGUUAUGGUUGUGUAAUCAAGAAAUGCUUUUGCAUUGAUGUUCUCGGGGAAAAAAUAGUAACAAAAUGGUAGCGGAAGUAAUGUUUUCAGCAAAAGCCAUCCAUCAAGUCUUAUCCAGCAUCUCUCAGAUCUAUAUUUAGACCAGUGCUUUGGGUGAUCCACCUAAUAGUAUAUGGAUUAACUUUUUGGUUGGUUUGUUGUCUGGAUAAGACUUUUUUCCAUCUUUCUCCUAGUUUGCCACUUCAUGUUUUUACCAAUAGAGCCCAAAACCCAAGUUAACCUAUAGACUUUGAUGCUAGCAAAUAGUUAACCUUAAUCUGAUAUGAAGUCAAAGAUAGAGUAAGCUUAUGAGAAGACAUAUUCACAAGCUUUAUAGUAUCUUCUACCUACAGACAUGUAUGUAUAUACAGUGCUGUGAAAAAAUAUUUGCUCCCAUUCUGAUUUCUUCUGUUUUUGUGUAUAUCUCAUACUAAAUUGUUUCAGAGAUUAAAACAAAAUCUAAGAUAAAACAAAGGCAACCUGAGUAAACACACAAUACAGUUUUUAAAUGAUAAUGUUAUUUAUUGAAGCAAAAAAAAGUUAUCCAAUACCAACUUGGCCUGUGUGAAAAUGUACGUUCCCCCGCAGUUAUUAAUUCCCCGAAUCUAUGAAACUGCAUUCAUAAUGGGGUUCAGCUGGACCAGACACAAGCAGGCCUGAUUACUGCAAACCCUGUUCAAUCAAAUCAACACUUAAAUAAAACUUUUUCAACAGCAUGAAGUUGGUUAAAAGGUCUUACCCUGGUCUUACCCUUGUAACUGUGGUAAAUGACCACAGUUACAAAGCUAUUUCAAAGGGUCUGAGACUCCAAAAAACUGCAGUGAGAGCCAUUAUCUCCAAAUGGAAAAACUCGACACAGUAAUGAACCUUCCCAGAAGUGUCCGACCUUCCAAAAUUCCUCCAAGAGCACAGCAACUACUCAUCCAGGAAGUCCUCUCUUGCAUCAAUAAAGGUCACUGUUCAUGACUCCACUAUCAGAAAGACACUGGGCAAAAAUUGCCUCCAUGGAAGAGUGGCGAGGUGAAAACCACUGCUAACUCAGAACAACAUUAAGGUUCGUCUGAAUUUUGUCAAAACACACCUUGAUGGUUCUCAAACCUUUUGGGAGUUUAUUUACCAUCUGGUGUAAACCAAACACAUCCAUCCAUCCAUCCAUCUUCUAUACUGUUUAUCCUCUUCAGGGUCACACUGAAACCUGGCGCCUAACCGAGGGAGCAUCGGGCACAAGGCGGGGUACACCCUGGACAGAGUGCCAAUUAAACCAAACACAGAAUUCCACAAAAAGAACAUCAUAUGUACGGUCAAGCAUGGUGGUGGAAGUGUGAAGGUGUGGAGAUGCUUUGCUGCCUUAGUUUUCACAUGGGUUCCUUUUUCGUGUCGAUAAAAAAAAACUAUUGUUUGUUUACUCAGGUUGCCUUUGUAUUAUAUUGUAUUUUGUUUGAAGACCUAAGACUAGUAUGAGAUAUGCACAAAAACAGAAGAAAUCAGCCAAUACUUUUUCCACAGCACUGUGUGUGUAUAUAUAUAUAUAUAUAUAUAUACAGACAUUAGGCUCUGUUGUUAAUGUCAGCAUCCCUGCCACAUUAACAUGGGUGAGAAUCCUUCAUGAGCGAGUGCAAGUCUAUGAAGAGAUGUGGCUCUACUCCAGCACGCUCAUCUGUAACUACCUUUAUGUUCUACUGAUCUUAAGAAAACUUGCUUUGUUAUGGACAUUGUACAAUUCUACAUAUCACAGGUGAUGUAAAUAAUAAAUAAAUAUACCUGUGCUGCCAGUAAUUUUGAGCUUCCCUGCUGGAAACUUGGCAGUAAGAUAAGAAUGGUACUUUUGAUGUGCCUGAAGCAGCAUCUAGAUUUCCAAUAUCUAUGGAUAGAUUUGAGAAGUAACAAAGUAUAAUAGCUAUUAUAAUUAGAGCUAACUAUUAGCAUGGUAACAUUUUUUUUUAAAUCCUCGUGCUACUUACUACCUUGCUAGCUAAUUGUUUUUCUGAAUGUCCUUUGUUAAUUGGCCAAAAUUGUGCAAGUGUCUGGCCUGAGGUGAAAAAAGGUCCAUCCAUCCAUGCUCUGUACCGCUUACCCUACACAGGGUCACGGGGAGCCUGGAGCCUAUCCCAAGGGACUCGGGGCACAAGGUAGGGGAAACCCUAGACAGGGUCCCAACCCAUCACAGGGCACAAUUGCACACACAAUCUCACACCCUACGAACAAUUUGGAAAUGCCAAUCAGCCUACAACACAUGUCUUUUGGACUGGGGGAGGAAACCAGAGUACCUGAAGGAAACCCCUGAAACAUAGGGAGAACAUGCAAACGCCACACAGACAGGUCAGGAAUCGAACCCAUAACCAUGGAGGUGCAACACAAAUGUGCUAACCACUAACCUACUGUGCCCCGACUGAGAAAACGGCUUUUUCUUUUAUUUCUCUUCUUGAGUAAUUUUAAGAGUUUUGAUGUAGUUGAGAAAAGAUCAACAUUUUUUGACUCAGCCUUGGUUUGACAGAAUCGAGUCUAGGGUUAGGUUCUCCUGUUGUCCAUUGGGAAUAUGAUAGUCACUACCUGCUUGCAUGUAUCUCAGUGUAUGCUGUGUUGAAAUGCACAAAUGGACACUGAAUGUUAUGCUACACACAGUCUAACAAAGGGGGAAGGGAGGAGUGGGUGAUGAAAUAGGAUGGAAGUUCUGUUUCGUGCGUAGACCUGAAGCACCUGUAUGGGAGCAUUCCCAGAGUUAUUGAAGGAACCAAGGACUUUCGAUUAAAAAAAAAUAGACUAUAGUCUUAAAUACAAUACAGUGUUCUUGACCUGUUUUUGCAAUUGCACAAUCAUUACACAAACCUGCUUAUAUUCUCUACACGCAGUUCCACUCUGACGCUGUGUGACCUUGUAAAUAACAGUCAUGCUUCAAUCACAGCUGCACAUUUCUAUUGAUUACACCACUGACUAGAUUAGCAACAGAAUAUCAAGCCUUAGCAUAUUGCUAACCUAGCACUUAAACUUUAAACGGGAUUACUUUCCAUUCACACAAAUUUUGAAUUCUCAAACCACAUUCUAUGAUUGGUAUGAAAAUGAUUGCAAAUUAGUUGCAUGAGUGGUCUGAAACAUGAUAAUUGAGGUUAAUGUGGUAUGAAAUGUGUUAAUAAUUGCGGGAAUAGAGACAAUAAAAACAAUUGUAACAUAGUAGACUAUAGAGUCAUUCUUUCAUUUGGAUACAAAAGCUUUUUAGUGUUAAGAUGUGCAUACUAGUGUCAUAUAUAUAAAAGACAACUUUUAGAUAUGUUGCACCAUGAAUUAAAGUUAGUUACAGUAAUAACAUGUACAAUGGUGCUUGAAAGUUUGUGAACCCUUUAGAAUGUUCUAUAUUUCUGCAUAAAUAUGUCCUAAAACAUCAACAGAU
ensembl:lncRNA